AUGGCCCUGCAUCAAGGCCUGCAGUUUUCUGAAGCUGUUGGUUUCAAGCAGGAACCUAUUGUGGUAUGUUUUUAUGACCUAUUUGCCAUCUCAGAACUCUACAAAUGUAAUGGUCAGUUUAUUAGAAGGAAACCACC
ensembl:snoRNA small nucleolar RNA SNORA2/SNORA34 family